ACACAACCCCCUUCCCCAGUCAACCCCAGCGAGCGAGCAGCCCCGCUCCUGUGUUUUCCAUAUCGGGCUUCCAGGCACAAAUCUAAACAGAAGGUCCCUUGACUUAAGAGAAAGAAACAAAAAACCGGCUGAAAAACCACACAGCGUUGGUUAAACACACAAGCUCUGGCAUCACGAAGUCCAGGUGCAAAGCCCACCUUUGCCACUCACCCCUCUGAACCUGUUUCCUCAUCCACAAAGUGCCCCCUCUGUAGGGAUGCUGUGAGGGUUGCAGGAGUUCAUCUAUGUAACACACAGUACCUGGCACAUAUCAAGUGCUCAGGAAACGCCAGCUCCCUGCCUCCUCAGGCUUCCAGAGCCAGCCUCCAGGGAAGCUGCAGACAGUUAGGAAGGUCUUAGAGGACAUCUAGGAAGUUUGACCUAGUCAAGGGUCAAAAAUCCAAAAGCCAACAACAGCCAGGCAGGUAACGUAAGUGAAGAAAAUAGGCCAGGUGUGAGGCCAAUCUGGAGAGAGACAAGGAAAAUAUUUCACUUUCCUCUUAACUUCGCAAACAAACAAAAAUAACCACACGGCAUCAGCCCAAUAAUAAAUGUAACAAGCCUGCAGCCAAGUCCUGGGGACUGUGGUGAAAAGAGCUGCGUCCCAUCCAUUCAGAUCCAGCCAUCUGUUGCCACCCAGAAAUGAGGACCCAGCAUUGUUAGACUGAUGGAUUUUUUUUUUCAAGAGAAGCCAGAAAUGUGAAAAUCUGGUUUUUAAAGGCUAGCGACCCAUUCUCUUUUUUUAAGGAAACAGAAUGCCUCAACAAAAAAUGUCAAGUGAGGGUAGGACGGGGGCUGCCCAUGUGUGGUCCCUGACAUACAUGCUCUUUUUUUUUUUUUGAGAUGGAGUCUCACUCUGUUGCCCAGGUUGGAGUACAGUGGUGUGAUCUCGGCUCACUGAAAUAUUCGCCUCCUGGGUUCAUGCAAUUUUCCUGCCUCAGCCUCCUGAGUAGCUGGGACUACAGGGGCACACCACCACGCCCAGCUAAUUUUUUUUUAAAGGUUUCAUUUUCUUCUGUUUAUUUCAAGAGAACAAAGAUUCAA
rnacentral:lncRNA from 1 species